rnacentral:rRNA from 1 species
GGUGGAAUUCGUAGUGUAGCGGUGAAAUGCAUAGAUACCAUAAAGAACACCGAUUGCGAAGGCAGCUUACUGGGCUUGAAUUGACGCUGAGGCACGAAAGCGUGGGGAGCGAACAGGAUUAGAUACCCUGGUAGUCCACGCCGUAAACGAUGUCUACUAGCCGUUGGGGAACUUGAUUCUUUAGUGGCGCAGCUAACGCACUAAGUUGACCGCCUGGGGAGUACGGCCGCAAGGUUAAAACUCAAAUGAAUUGACGGGGGCCCGCACAAGCG